rnacentral:tRNA from 2 species
GGAGACGUGGCUGAGUGGUCGAAAGUACCUCACUGCUAACGAGGCAGGGGUUAAUAGCCCCUCGAGGGUUCGAAUCCCUCCGUCUCCG